UAGGGAAUCUUCCACAAUGGACACAAGUCUGAUGGAGCAACGCCGCGUGAGUGAAGAAGGUCUUCGGAUCGUAAAACUCUGUUGUUAGAGAAGAACACGAGUGAGAGUAACUGUUCAUUCGAUGACGGUAUCUAACCAGCAAGUCACGGCUAACUACGUGCUAG
rnacentral:rRNA from 1 species